CAGUCGCCACGGGAAAACGAGGGGAGCUAGCGUUAUUCGGAAUUACUGGGCGUAAAGCGCACGUAGGCGGCUUUGUAAGUUAGAGGUGAAAGCCCAGAGCUCAACUCUGGAAUUGCCUUUAAGACUGCAUCGCUUGAAUCCAGGAGAGGUGAGUGGAAUUCCGAGUGUAGAGGUGAAAUUCGUAGAUAUUCGGAAGAACACCAGUGGCGAAGGCGGCUCACUGGACUGGUAUUGACGCUGAGGUGCGAAAGCGGGGGGAGCAAACAGGAUUAGAUACCCGCGUAGUCCCUGUCUCUUAUAC
rnacentral:rRNA from 1 species